GGCCAGCGUGGUGUAAUGGAUUGAGUGUUGGACUGGGACACUGGGAGGCCUGGGUUCAAAUCCCAGCUUGGCCA